CCUACGGGAGGCAGCAGUAGGGAAUCUUCGGCAAUGGACGAAAGUCUGACGGAGCAACGCCGCGUGAGUGAUGAAGGCUUUCGGAUCGUAAAGCUCUGUUGUUAGGGAAGAACAAGUGCCGUUCAAAUAGGGCGGCACCUUGACGGUACCUAACCAGAAAGCCACGGCUAACUACGUGCCAGCAGCCGCGGUAAUACGUAGGUGGCAAGCGUUGUCCGGAUUUAUUGGGCGUAAAGCGAGCGCAGGCGGUCUUUUAAGUCUGAUGUGAAAGCCCUCGGCUCAACCGAGGAAGGUCAUUGGAAACUGGAGGACUUGAGUGCAGAAGAGGAGAGUGGAAUUCCAUGUGUAGCGGUGAAAUGCGUAGAUAUAUGGAGGAACACCAGUGGCGAAGGCGACUCUCUGGUCUGUAACUGACGCUGAGGCUCGAAAGCGUGGGGAGCAAACAGGAUUAGAUACCCGGGUA
rnacentral:rRNA from 1 species